AAGGGCGCACGGUGGAUGCCUUGGCACUAGGAGCCGAUGAAGGACGGGACUAACACCGAUAUGCUUCGGGGAGCUGUAAGUAAGCUUUGAUCCGGAGAUUUCCGAAUGGGGGAACCCAAUUGCUUUGAUAGGCAAUUACUCAGCUACG
rnacentral:rRNA from 1 species